UUUUUACAGGUUGACCUCGGAUCAGGUAGGGAUACCCGCUGAACUUAAGCAUAUCAAUAAGCGGAGGAAAAGAAACCAACAGGGAUUGCCUCAGUAACGGCGAGUGAAGCGGCAACAGCUCAAAUUUGAAAGCUGCCAACAGGCCGCGUUGUAAUUUGUAGAAGCUGCUUUGGGUGUCGGCCCGGUCUAAGUUCCUUGGAACAGGACGUCAUAGAGGGUGAGAAUCCCGUAUGUGAUCGGUGCCGGUGCCCGUGUAAAGCGCUUUCGACGAGUCGAGUUGUUUGGGAAUGCAGCUCAAAAUGGGUGGUAAAUUUCAUCUAAAGCUAAAUAUUGGCCAGAGACCGAUAGCGCACAAGUAGAGUGAUCGAAAGAUGAAAAGCACUUUGGAAAGAGAGUUAAACAGUACGUGAAACUUGUUGAAAGGGAAGCGCUUGCAACCAGACUUGCGGGCGGUCGAUCAUCCGAGGUUCUCCCCGCUGGGG
rnacentral:rRNA from 1 species